GGUUAAGCGACUAAGCGUACACGGUGGAUGCCCUGGCAGUCAGAGGCGAUGAAGGGCGUGCUAAUCUGCGAUAAGCGCCGGUAAGGUGAUAUGAACUGUUAUAACCGGCGAUACCCGAAUGGGGAAACCCAGUGUGACUCGUCACACUAUCAUUAACUGAAUCCAUAGGUUAAUGAGGCGAACCGGGGGAACUGAAACAUCUAAGUACCCCGAGGAAAAGAAAUCAACCGAGAUUCCCCCAGUAGCGGCGAGCGAACGGGGAGGAGCCCAGAGCCUGAAUCAGCAUGUGUGUUAGUGGAAGCGUCUGGAAAGGCGCGCGAUACAGGGUGACAGCCCCGUACACAAAAGCGCAUGUGCUGUGAGCUCGAUGAGUAGGGCGGGACACGUGGUAUCCUGUCUGAAUAUGGGGGGACCAUCCUCCAAGGCUAAAUACUCCUGACUGACCGAUAGUGAACCAGUACCGUGAGGGAAAGGCGAAAAGAACCCCGGCGAGGGGAGUGAAAAAGAACCUGAAACCGUGUACGUACAAGCAGUGGGAGCCCCACCACUAAGCCAGUGGUGAACUCCACAUACGCAUCCUUUGCUGAAGGCAAUGGUUAACGGAGCGAAAGCGACGUUCAACCGCAAAACAAGCAGAGGGGGCUUAGUGGUGGGGUGACUGCGUACCUUUUGUAUAAUGGGUCAGCGACUUAUAUUCUGUAGCAAGGUUAACCGUAUAGGGGAGCCGGAGGGAAACCGAGUCUUAAUUGGGCGUUAAGUUGCAGGGUAUAGACCCGAAACCCGGUGAUCUAGCCAUGGGCAGGUUGAAGGUUGGGUAACACUAACUGGAGGACCGAACCGACUAAUGUUGAAAAAUUAGCGGAUGACCUGUGGCUGGGGGUGAAAGGCCAAUCAAACCGGGAGAUAGCUGGUUCUCCCCGAAAGCUAUUUAGGUAGCGCCUCGUGAAUUCAUCUCCGGGGGUAGAGCACUGUUUCGGCUAGGGGGCCAUCCCGGCUUACCAACCCGAUGCAAACUGCGAAUACCGGAGAAUGUUAUCACGGGAGACACACGGCGGGUGCUAACGUCCGUCGUGAAGAGGGAAACAACCCAGACCGCCAGCUAAGGUCCCAAAGUCAUGGUUAAGUGGGAAACGAUGUGGGAAGGCCCAGACAGCCAGGAUGUUGGCUUAGAAGCAGCCAUCAUUUAAAGAAAGCGUAAUAGCUCACUGGUCGAGUCGGCCUGCGCGGAAGAUGUAACGGGGCUAAACCAUGCACCGAAGCUGCGGCAGCGAACGUAUCACUUAAAGCGAUUCAGCGGGUUACGAUUGACGGAGCGAAGCGACGUCAAAGCGUAUACAAAGUCGAGUCGGUUUAAGGAUACGUUCGUUGGGUAGGGGAGCGUUCUGUAAGCCUGCGAAGGUGGCCUGUGAGGGUUGCUGGAGGUAUCAGAAGUGCGAAUGCUGACAUAAGUAACGAUAAAGCGGGUGAAAAGCCCGCUCGCCGGAAGACCAAGGGUUCCUGUCCAACGUUAAUCGGGGCAGGGUGAGUCGACCCCUAAGGCGAGGCCGAAAGGCGUAGUCGAUGGGAAACGGGUUAAUAUUCCCGUACUUGGUGUUACUGCGAAGGGGGGACGGAGAAGGCUAUGUUGGCCGGGCGACGGUUGUCCCGGUUUAAGCGUGUAGGCUGGUUUUCCAGGCAAAUCCGGAAAAUCAAGGCUGAGGCGUGACGACGAGGCACUACGGUGCUGAAGCAACAAAUGCCCUGCUUCCAGGAAAAGCCUCUAAGCAU
rnacentral:rRNA from 1 species